rnacentral:lncRNA from 1 species
GGUAUGUUUGGCUAGUUUGUGAUGUAGGAGUAUGUUUGGCUAGUUUGGGAUGUAUGUUCGGUAGGUAAUGUUUGAUACGGAGACAUUGCUGUCCACUGAAACUGCAAGUGUGACUUGGUCCAUUUCUUAUCCCCUGGUAAUUUGUCAUUUCUAGGAAGUUGUAAACAAAUGCUAAGUUGGUCCCUGUUUGACCCAUUAUUUAUUUUCUACAUGUUGUCCUUUUGCUGCUUUUCAUAUUUGUGUUUUGUUAGGUGCACUGUUAAAUUGUUUUAGGAGCAGAACUGGAUCCUAGCUAAUUUCUACAACAAUUUCAAUGUCAUUAUCUGAAUAACUUAGUUUUCUGGCUGAUUUGAUAUAUAUAUGCUUGGUUGCAUCUAAUAUAGUUUUUUUUGUUGCGUAUUGUGUUUGUUACUCUGUUACAUGGAAAAUUUUGGUUGCCUGGCUACUUGCAAUUGACUGGAUGAAGUUUCUGCAGUUAUCAUUGCUUAGUUUGAAUGUAUGACAUAAUGUUGAUUGUAGAUGAUCCAUGAUUAGCUUUCACAAAUAUGUUUGCUUUUUGUUGGACUUCUCUUAAAUUGUUUUUCUGUAGGUUUUGUACUAUUACCUCUGUUAUUAUGUCAGAAUGUGCAGAGCAUUCCAAUUUGACUAGCAAUUUGACUACCAACUUGUCUGCAUUGUGCUAGCAGAUUCAUCUUCGGAUUUAUUGUUUUGUGCCUAGGUGCUCUAAAUUUGAAUGAUAUAGCUUCAGUUUUACGUUUCACUAAGAAUAGUGUAAUGAACAAUUCUGUAUCAUAAUAUUCAUAUAUGAUGUGAUGGUACUGAAAUGUCGGUAUCUAAUUUUCUUGAAAGCACAAUUUCUGUCCUGGAUUGCUUUUGUAUCCAGUUUACAUAUCUUUGUUACCUUUAAUUCACUAACUCUACAGAAGCAUAUUGCUUAUAAAUUAUUAUAUUUCUUGUCAUCCAG